AAGCCACCAAACUGCACAAGCACAAGACCACAGGAAGCUAUUGCCAUGAUAUAUUCACUCCAAGCAGACAACGAUUGAAAUCAUCAGACGCCACACUCAGUUAAAGUAUGCAAACGAGUAUUUAAGGAAGCCUCAGAAUCUGUCCAUCUCCAUUAUAUUUCCUGUUACUCCACCCUCUUUUCCUCAUCUUGCCCUGUGGGUCUCUUGCAUCUCGCUGCCAAUCUGCAAGCUGUUAUGGCCAGCCCAGUCAAGCUGGGUGUUUUCUCGAAGUCACAACAGUGAUCAGGGCAAACCUCCAAUGUCAUCCCUCCAUCUUCCCCCCAAAGUACACGGGAGCUUACUAAUGAAUCAAAUGAGCUGUCGACACAGGAAAACCUCUGGACCAAACUGCUGGAAGAAACUGGAUGGUAAUUUAUAACAAGCUCCAAAAAGGCAGCAUAAAAGUACACAUAUUUGGGUACCACUUUACAAAAAAAUUGAAUAGGCCCAUUCGUUAAUGUAGUUAAUGCAUUAACAUCAACUUACAAUGAGCAACACAUUUGCUGUUUAUAUAUACAUUUACAUAACAUAUAUAUAUAU
ensembl:lncRNA